GAGGAGUUCCAGCCUAUCGGUGCUUCUUCAUGGUUGUAUUCUUCUAGAUUCAGUUCCCUCGCCCGGAGCUACGUUCUAAGGUACUUUUAUACUUACCCUUCUGAUUUAAGUAAGCAUCUUGUUCUUAUUCGUUCUUUGGUUCACAACUCAUAUUGAGUGCUUUGAUCUUGAUCGUAACUUGGUUGAAGUAGUUUUUCAUAGUGUAGGCGUGGUGUCUAGGCUAGGUUUACUUGUGGAUGUCCUCUGAUCAGCCGGACAGUGGUAGUUUGCGUAGGUGACUUUAUGGCUGCGUUGAUUCCUCUGUAGUCCACUUCUCAUUGAUAGGAUUGAUAGGCUUAUAGGUACCUGAUAGGGGAUUACUCUGAUUCUUCCCCUAUUCGGGUUACUUGCCCGAUAAGAUGGUAUUAUACAAAGUUUACCGGAGUUGAAACUAGAGUGCAUUAGUUAUUUUCUUUUUCUUGAUAUGAUCUAACCUAAUUGUAGGGUUAAGUCUAUAUACUAUGUCAUCAUCACAACUAUUCCCUGUGUAUUCGAUAUUUAAAAUCUCCAGGUAAAAUGUGACACUAGUAUGAUAUCUGUGCGCUUGUGGAUAAUCCUACUUAAAUCUAUUUAAAUGGAGUGCAGUUAAUUUAUACCAACAAGCAUUUUUGGCACCGUUGCUGGGGAACGGUUUGCUGAUUUUGACUUAGUUUAGCUUAAUCUUGUAUUGUACUUUUAUUUUUUUCUGUUUUUAUACCAUUCUCUUCAUUUUUUUUGUGUUCAUCCUUAUGGAUGCUUUUAAUUCUAUUCAUAUCGGUCUUUAUGGCAUGUGCAAAAGCUUAAAGCAUAAGCCUUAUCUUAAUAUCUAUAAGCUAUGCCCAUGUCUACAUAAUAUAAUAAACCCUUCUCAAAUAUAUCAUGAGAUUAUUAAUCCUAAUCUUGGUUUACUAGGCCCCACGUUUAUUCAACAUUUGGGUCUUACCAAGAGUUACAAGGAAUCCCUUGAUUUAUCUUCUCGAGAGUUCUUUCUUAUCUUUUAAAGCAAGAGUUUAUGCUCAAAAGAGUUGCUCUAGCUAUUUCUGAACUCCCCAAAAGAAGAAAAGGAUUUAUUAUCCAAACUAAAAACAGAAGUCUUGGUAGCUAAAACACAAUCACAUCAUUCCUAAAAUUUAGCUAUCAAUCCUAAACCUUUAAAUUCCACUUUAAUGAUUUAGACUUCCAGUUAGCUAAGAUGCUCCU
rnacentral:lncRNA from 1 species